GAUGAACGCUGGCGGCGUGCCUAAUACAUGCAAGUCGAGCGAACGGACGAGAAGCUUGCUUCUCUGAUGUUAGCGGCGGACGGGUGAGUAACACGUGGAUAACCUACCUAUAAGACUGGGAUAACUUCGGGAAACCGGAGCUAAUACCGGAUGAUAUUUUGAACCGCAUGGUUCAAAAGUGAAAGACGGUCUUGCUGUCACUUAUAGAUGGAUCCGCGCUGCAUUAGCUAGUUGGUAAGGUAACGGCUUACCAAGGCAACGAUGCAUAGCCGACCUGAGAGGGUGAUAGGCCACACUGGAACUGAGACACGGUCAAGACUCCUACGGGAGGCAGCAGUAGGGAAUCUUCCGCAAUGGGCGAAAGCAUGACGGAGCAACGCCGCGUGAGUGAUGAAGGUCUUCGGAUCGUAAAACUCUGUUAUUAGGGAAGAACAUAUGUGUAAGUAACUGUGCACAUCUUGACGGUACCUAAUCAGAAAGCCACGGCUAACUACGUG
rnacentral:rRNA from 1 species